rnacentral:rRNA from 1 species
UACGGGGGGGGCAAGCGUUGUUCGGAAUUACUGGGCGUAAAGGGCUCGUAGGUGGCCAACUAAGUCAGACGUGAAAUCCCUCGGCUUAACCGGGGAACUGCGUCUGAUACUGGAUGGCUUGAGGUUGGGAGAGGGAUGGCGGAAUUCCAGGUGUAGCGGUGAAAUGCGUAGAUAUCUGGGAGGAACACCGGUGGCGAAGGCGGCGAAUCCUGGCCA